UACGUAGGGGGCAAGCGUUGUCCGGAUUUACUGGGCGUAAAGAGCGUGUAGGCGGCCAAACAGGUCCGUUGUGAAAACUGGAGGCUCAACCUCCAGACGUCGACGGAAACCGUGUGGCUAGAGUCCGGAAGAGGAGAGUGGAAUUCCUGAGUGUAGCGGUGAAAUGCGCAGAUAUCAGGAAGAACACCAAUGGCGAAGGCAGCUCUCUGGGACGGUACUGACGCUGAGACGCGAAAGCGUGGGGAGCGAACAGG
rnacentral:rRNA from 1 species